AUGCACCAUCCCCUUCACCUGUGCCACCACGGAAGGGAGGGAGAAGAAGCUAUUCCAGCUCUGCUGCAUUGGUGGUCACUGGCUCUGAAGAACAUGCUGAACCUGAAAAGAGGACAGGAAAAUGGCUGGGUUAAAAACAAACAAGGAAGCAUCCCCAUCUUCUUCUUCUACAGCAAAGAUUUUUUUAUUUUUUUAUUUUUUUUCUCAAAGUAUUGCUCCUUCUAGAUACUUUCUAACUCCAUCCUAAGUGUUUGAAAGCAACUCUCACUAAAGUUUAUCCUAAUAAUAAACCGUGACGGAAGGAAGUAAUCUUAGUAUUC
rnacentral:lncRNA from 1 species